rnacentral:rRNA from 1 species
UUGACCUCGGAUCAGGUAGGAAUACCCGCUGAACCUGCGGAGG